AAAGAGCACCUAUUAUGGGAUACACGUUUUUAAACAUCCUUUUGUGUGUAAGUGUGCAUUAGUACAUGCUAACGAUAUUCAAAAAGUACAUACCUCAAAGAAAACGAUGACGCGAGUUAUCGUCUCUAACGUUCGAGGACUACAAAAAACACUCGGAUUGUAGGCAACAGUUUACUUCCUGGGAUUAGUGACGUAGAUAAGACCAACAUUAUCAUAGUUCAGCCCUCUCUGCUUUGCUUGGGUACGCCCUCAAAGACGGGGGUGGGGAGCGCCGAGUCAGAAGAGAGCUAAAAUGGCGGAGGUUGUGAGUCCCUGCUUUGACCCUGUUUGCAAACUCUUGUUUCAUUGUUUAAGCGAUUAAAUCUCUCGAGUAGACGCUGUCUCUUUAGAUGCGAGGGAAAAAUAGCACUUUAUGGACUUACACAGAGGACAUCAUGUUUAAUACGGUUCCGGAAAAAUCCAGUCAGAAGUUGUUCACGGAGUUUUCACAAUAACUGCUUCUCAUGAACCGAAGCUGGAUUUGCGCGACGUCUCCUCUUGAAAGUUGGAUUACUGUGCACUUCUGGAUCACAGGCUAUUCGCAGCUGGACACAUCCUUCUACACUGUAUGCAAACAUGCUACAUCAUUACACACAGUACAAGGAGUCAGACUGGCAUAUGAGGAGCAAAGGAACCCAGGCAGUAGCAUCGUUUCACAAUGUUUCCAUCACCAUCAUCAGUGGAUGCCUUUGCCGUCCGUAGCCUGAGAUUUCAGAUUUGCAGCAAAAAAAAAUUGAUUUUCUCAU